UGGGGAAUAUUGCACAAUGGGGGAAACCCUGAUGCAGCGACGCCGCGUGUAGGAAGACGGUCCUCUGGAUUGUAAACUACUGUCUUCGGGGACGAUAAUGACGGUACCCGAGGAGGAAGCUCCGGCUAACUACGUGCCAGCAGCCGCGGUAAUACGGGGGGUGCAAGCGUUGUCCGGAAUCAUUGGGCGUAAAGCGUUCGUAGGCGGUAUAUCAAGUCUGGUGUUAAAGCCCGGGGCUCAACUCCGGUUCGGCACUGGAUACUGGUAAACUAGAAUGCGGUAGAGGUAAGGGGAAUUCCUGGUGUAGCGGUGAAAUGCGUAGAUAUCAGGAGGAACAUCGGUGGCGAAAGCGCCUUACUGGGCCGUAAUUGACGCUGAGGAACGAAAGCCGGGGGAGCAAAUG
rnacentral:rRNA from 1 species